rnacentral:lncRNA from 1 species
AGUUCUCAACAUCAGACAACAAGGAGUUUAUUAUAUUGACAAGCCCAAGCAGCUGAAUCCCAAAAUGAGGCCACUACCCUGCAUGCUGGGAAGAGAGGGAAGCUCCUCUGUGCUGAGGACCUGAGUUACAAACAGACACAAGUGGUCUCAAACCAGUGGCAACUUAAUGACACUUGGCAAUAACAUUGCUGGGGAAAACUGCUCAGUUAAUUUGGUUAAGCCAACUCAAGAUCAGAAUGGUUUAUUGAUUUAUUAACAACGUUUAAUCAGCAAACAGUGAACAGCAGAUUUAAUAUUAAUAUCAUCACCAGCACAAUGGAAAAGCCACAACACUAGACAAUUACAAAAUGUAAAUUAACACCUACAGUUUUUGAAAUAUCCAAAUCCAUCAUUUUUGCUAAGAGGCUACAGGGGGUAGGACCUGGUGGGUAAAGGCAAGGAAGGUAAAAAGAAACAUCUUUCCCAUAGAAGGAGCCAAAUUUCUUCUGCUACCCUGAGCAGGACAAGGUCACAAACAAUCUGACAGCAGUGUGAGUUUUGCUGUUGACUGAAGAGCUCCAAGAUUUCACCAGAACUCCCUGUAUUUGGAGCAUUUCUCCUCUUGAACUCACAGUUGUUCCCCACCAUUUCAUUACAUCCUCCCUGUUAGAAGAUUAAUUUGUAUAUUGCAAUUCUCUCUCAAAAUCAAUGUAUUGGAAAGCAAGUGGCAGGAGUCUUCUCUUCAAUGGAAUGGAAAUGAUGGUGCUAAGCACUUGUUGUGUCUAUGCCAUGUCUUUCAACUGCUGGCUGUAAAACACCGCUACCAUCUGACGAGGCGCUUGAGGGAGCCUGAAAAGAGAAUGAUUGUCUUACUCAAAUGAAUGUUUUAAAAGCUAAGAAGGCAAACUGCACCUGCAACUCUGUAUUGAGAGACAAAGCCGACAUGUGGUCCAGCACUCUGCAAUGAAAUCUGAGCAUUCUCUCCAUCUCAUAAGGCAGAAAAGAUAGAAGACCAUAUAAAUAUGCCUUAAGAGAAAAAUUUUAAUAACUAAGAACAGAAGCAGCACAACUACAUUUAAUGGAAAAUAAGGUUUAUUUGAAGUGCACAAACAUAAUUUUUCUGGAUUUGAAAAAACAGUCAUGGAACUGAGCUUCAGAGACAUGAAGACCCAGAGAUGGUGAACAUUAAAAUGAUAUAACAUGAUAUGCUAGUUCAUCUAAACAAAAAAAACCCCAAUAUAUUCUCACAUUCAGUUGAUGAUCUUAAUAAAAGCAGUGGAGACACAUAAAGUUAGAAGCCA